rnacentral:tRNA from 1 species
GGUUAUGGUUCAGUGGUAGAGUGCUUGCCUCACAUAUGCAAGGCCCUGGGUUUGAUCCUCAGCACCA